ACACACGCUCCAGCCUGUCUGUGUUGCUAUGUACAUUAUUAUAUGUAUUUCAGGCCAUAUCUGUGUUUUCCAAAUGUCUCCAGUUGGGUUUUGACUGGUCAAAUUGUUGAGAUAGGUAGGUAGAUGCGCUUUUCUGCAUAAAUGUUCUGUUCACACAUGAAGUUGGAUAUAAAUGUUGGAUUGUUGCUUUGAUGCAAGUUUCUGAGACAUUUUAACCCAAAGUAGAUAUUAGUAGAAACGUUUUCUGCCAUCACUGAAGUUGCAAAAUGGGAAACAUCAUCAACCAGAUUAGGACUUUCCCUAAAGUGUUUUCUUUACCACUUAGAGGACAUGUGGUGAACCAGUCCUUCAUCUUCUGACCCUUCACCAAAGCUAAAGAGCAGCAGCUCUGACUCUCCUCUCCCUGUCACUAUGGCCUGCAGCAUUUUAGAGCAGGCUCGUGUUUUGAAGGCCUUUGUUCCUGUUUGCACCAAGCGUGGCCUGCAGCACGGAGGUGUCUUUGUUGCUCUAAAUUGUCCCUUUGUUGCAUCUCUGGGCGCUGAAUUGCUCUUUGUGUUUGCUGACUGAUAAAGCUUGCAAACAGUCACCACAGUCACACACAUGUGUGCAAACACAGAUACACAGCCAGAGGUGUGGAUAACGACGUUACGUCCACAUAUUUCACACUCACAACCCCACCUGGAAUACAGUAGAGCCAGAAUAGUUCUUUCUCAUGUCCCAUCUGAUCCUCGGGAGGUCGUGCUCGAUUGGUAACUCUCAGGGAGCGUGGACUGUCUCGUAUUUGCAUUUUUAUGGCCUGAUGUAGAGAGCUUGUGAGGAUGAUUAAAUUGUUGGUUUCUGCACAUCGGGAGCACCUCUUCAUACUUGACACACACAUGUUCACUGGAUUAUUAGAUUAAUGUAGUUACGAAAUCGAACCCGUUCAUCUUGUUGCUCUGUUCAUCCACCUCCUCUUGGUUUCUUUGCGCUUUCUUGACCUCUCGGCUUCUUGUCUCUAAUCCCCGGAGUGCACUCUGGUUAUUUUGUCCGCACACCACAUCUGCCCGCUCUCCUGCUUUCAGCUUGUGUGUUUGUUUUUUUUUUCUUUUUGGGGAGGGGUAAAUGUCAGAGUAAAUGUCUCCUGGUUGUUGGGCAAAAGCAGGAGCCUCUGUUGCUAAAGCAAACACUCACCCGGACAGAUAACAACCACAAGCCUUCUGUUUUCCGCAGGCAGUUUAUUUGCACACAAAUACAUAGACGGCACGCCCACGGGCGCUAAUGUCAGACAUAAACAGAAGCCGGAAACAUAUGUGCAUGAAGGAGAAACAAAGAGGCUCCACUGAAUGGGUGUUUCCUGAUCACACAGAAGAUGCACCUGUUCAUCACAGCAGGGUUGUGUCAAAAAGGGCAUCUGACAAAUAACUCUCUGCCAAACCACCUGUGCAAAUCAGUGAAAGGAUGAUUCACCGUGGCGACCCUGGAUAGGAUGUGCCGAAAGACGGUAGAUUUGCUGCACAAAAGGCCCAAACCACCAUCCCUCCACCUCUGUGUUUUAAACUGCUUUGGGACUCUCUGCUGUGCAUCUGGGACAAGUGUUCACCUUUCUGGAACUCUCCUGAACAAACCGUGCUUUUUCUGUCUUUUCUAGCCUUCGGGGUUUGAGGUGUGCUUUCUGGAUCAUUUUAAUUACUUUUAGAAACAUCAUUUCCCAGAAGCAUUGCAAUUUUUUGGGGGGAAAUGAUUUCCAUCAGUGAGGCAAAAAUCAAUGGCUGGAUCUUUCAGCACAACAAUGUCCCCAAACCCAUUGCACGGGCAAUGAAGGAGGUGCUGCAUUAAAAGCAUUUCAAGGUUCUGGAGUGGCCAAACCGGUCAACGGACCUCAAUCCUACCUGGGGCGAGACGUAAAGCCGAGGUUGCCUGGUAACCGCCCCACUUUUGGCCCACUGUCCAUGCCAAAAAGAACCUUUUAGCAUAGGUCUCAUGAGUAUCUUUAGUAACCAUGUGUUACUAAUAAAGAUUACACUUCAAAAUUUUACAAAUAUGGCAGAAAAUUACAAAAAGGUCAAGACAUCUUGUUUCAUUUUACCUUAGAUAAACAGUGAAAUUAUAAAAUAAAAAUGUUUUGAAGGUGAAACUAAAAAUCUUAUCCAUCAAGAAAGAUGUUUGAUUAGUGUGCAAAUGUCAGGAUCAUCACUGCUAAUAUUAUAAGCAGAGGCAUUUUAAAAGUCAUUUCAAAGUGAUUGAUCUGGAUAUUCAAACUGAUGGUUCUGCCAGCCUUAAAUUGAGAGUAACUGGAAAUGAUACAUCUUUAUCAAGAUGUAUUAUAGUUUCCAACUUGACAAGAGCGAUUCACAACCAGUUAUGGUGGAGAGAAUCCAGUAAUUUUCCAAAAUAAAACAUAUUUGGGAAUCUGAUUAUGAACAAAACAGGCACAAUGUUAGUUAUGUAUACUUUCAGUGGGGACUGGUACCAAGUCACCCACAGACCGGUGCCGGUCCACUGCCCAGGGUUGGGGACCGCUUGUUUUGAUGACACUGUUCUUAACUUUUCCUGAAAUAUGUCUCUUGAAACAAAUAUUCGUAUUUAUAAAUUAUUACAGAAAAAGUGGUCAUUUUGAAUGUUUUUUCUUCUCUUGUUGCAGCAAAGAAGUACCGGUAAUAAAAGUACACAAUAACGUCUGACGUUCUGUUUGAUAAGAGAAAAGUCACAAAAAUAGCAGGACCUUAAUUAUUUUAAUUAUUUGCCCCUCAGAAAAGGUGCAUUUAUCAACUCAAAACUAUGACUAAAGACAGAGCUUUCAAAGGAUUUGAUACCUAAGUAAAUGGAUGUUCACAAGAGCUUAUGGUACUCUGAUGAGUAAAUGUAGUUAAACGUCGUGUCGGUCUGAACUGAGGUCUACUGAAGCCAAAACGAUGAUGAAGAGGGCAGUGUUUCAUCACUGACAUCAUUUUCUGAGACUGAUUCAGAACAGGCGAGGGAUGUGCAGUUCCUGAUCAGGCCUCUAGGUGGGGCUGCCGAUGCAGGCAUCCAUAAUAGAAAAAUAAUAAUAAUCAAAAAUACAAAGAAAACCUAUUUAUUUAUUCAGAAAUUAAAAAAACAAAUGCCAUACAGAUGUAUUUACAAUUUGGUAAAAAAAAGUCCACAAUGUAUGGAUUAUGGUUUGUAUGUGUAUUACAGAUUUAGUGUUUACUUCAAGUCUUUUGUAAAAUACUUUUAGAUCUUGAAAUCUUUGCUUGCUUGUUUACUCACAAAGUUCUACAGCAAUAAUAAAGCUGUUUACUGUAAGAUAAUUCUUUAUUUUUAGUUUACUUAAAGGGCUUAAACUCUGCAAAAGAACCACUUUUCUUAUAAAAUAUGAGUUAUUUACGCAGCUAACUUUCCUACAUGGAAGUAAGACGACUCGAUCUCUGAGGCCUCGGCAGAGUGUCUGUGUUUUGCCCA